rnacentral:rRNA from 1 species
UACGUAGGGGGCAAGCGUUAUCCGGAUUUACUGGGUGUAAAGGGAGCGUAGACGGCAGUGCAAGUCUGGAGUGAAAGGCGGGGGCUCAACCCCCGGACUGCUCUGGAAACUGUACGGCUGGAGUGCAGGAGAGGUAAGUGGAAUUCCUAGUGUAGCGGUGAAAUGCGUAGAUAUUAGGAGGAACACCGGUGGCGAAGGCGGCCUGCUGGACUGUGACUGACGUUGAGGCCCGAAGGCGUGGGGAGCGAACAGG